UACGUAGGGGGCGAGCGUUGUCCGGAGUACUGGCGUAAAGCGCACGCAGGCGGUCUGCUAAGUUUGGAGUGACAGUUGGUGGCUUAACUGCCAAAGUGCUUCGAAACUGACAGACUUGAGGGCUUACAGAGGGACACGGAAUUCCGGGUGGAGUGGUGAAAUGCGUAGAGAUCCGGAGGAACACCAAAGGCGAAGGCAGUGUCCUGGGGAGUACCUGACGCUCGAGGUGCGAAAGCCAGGGAGCGAACCGGGA
rnacentral:rRNA from 1 species